rnacentral:rRNA from 1 species
GAUGAACGCUGGCGGCGUGCCUAAUACAUGCAAGUCGAGCGAACAGACGAGGAGUUUGCUCCUCUGACGUUAGCGACGGACGGGUGAGUAACACGUGGAUAACCUACCUAUAAGACUGGGAUAACUUCGGGAAAGCGGAGCUAACACCGGAUAAUAUAUUGAACCGCAUGGUUCAAUAGUGAAAGACGGUUUUGCUGUCACUUAUAGAUGGAUCCGCGCCGCAUUAGCUAGUUGGUAAGGUAACGGCUUACCAAGGCGACGAUGCGUAGCCGACCUGAGAGGGUGAUCGGCCACACUGGAACUGAGACACGGUCCAGACUCCUACGGGAGGCAGCAGUAGGGAAUCUUCCGCAAUGGGCGAAAGCCUGACGGAGCAACGCCGCGUGAGUGAUGAAGGUCUUCGGAUCGUAAAACUCUGUUAUUAGGGAAGAACAAAUGUGUAAGUAACUAUGCACGUCUUGACGGUACCUAAUCAGAAAGCCACGGCUAACUACGUG